rnacentral:rRNA from 1 species
GACGAACGCUGGCGGCGUGCUUAACACAUGCAAGUCGAACGGAAAGGCCCUGCUUUUGUGGGGUGCUCGGGUGGCGAACGGGUGAGUAACACGUGAGUAACCUGCCCUUGACUUUGUGAUAACUUCAGGAAACUGGGGCUAAUACCGGAUAGGAGCUCCUGCUGCAUGGUGGUGGUUGGAAAGUUUCGGCGGUUGGGGAUGGACUCGCGGCUUAUCAGCUUGUUGGUGGGGUAGUGGCUUACCAAGGCUUUGACGGGUAGCCGGCCUGAGAGGGUGACCGGCCACAUUGGGCCUGCGAGACGGCCCAGAAUCCUACGGGAGGCAGCAGUGGGGAAUAUUGCACAAUGGGCGGAAGCCUGAUGCAGCAACGCCGGGAGCGGGAUGCCGGCCUUCGGGUUGUAAACCGCUUUCGCCUGUGACGAAGCGUGAGUGACGGUAAUGGGUAAAGAAGCACCGGCUAACUACGUG